CUUACGGCAAAAGCUGUGCUGCUGACUCUGACUGCUACUCGCUGCUUGAAGCCUUCUGUCUGUCUGGAGUGUGUACAUGUAGACACGGCUACAGCUAUUCAUCGACAGGGCAGUACUGCAGGGCGAUUACAGAAUGCACAACGUUUAAAGACACAUUCACCACGUACCCCAACUCUAUGAUUUUUCUCAAUGACAUCUGGUCUUUUCCAUUCUCUAACCCAACCAAAUGUAAACAGAAGUGUAUCGAUUCGGGUAUCUUCUGCAAGUCUGCCGACUUCAGCUCUUUGGGUUUAUGCUUUACGUCUGCGAUCACCUGGAAAGAGCCUGUCGAUGAUGCCUCCAGAUUUGACAAUAGCCAUACCCACUUUCAGCGCGACUGUGACUGGUCUUGAGAAACGACAGCUGUUUCAACAAGCGGAACUGUGGACGACCCUUAACCAGCUGAGAUCUAAUUGUGACUCAACUUUUAUUCAAACAAACACAAAACUCGCUUAUCCAACAGGAAUAUGCAUUUAUAACAACCUUUUAUUUACACCCUAUCACACCAGUAUCUGUGCGCCUCGACACAAGUUGCCUGGUACUCGUCGGGUAUAUUUAUUCUGUGCAGAAACUGAUGUUAGUGGUCACGAAGGCUGCUGAAUGUUUGGUGAUGAUCCAAGAAGUGAGCCACUUUUGGCCUUCCUCCCAUUUCGUGAAAAGACUGAAAUACUGUUCACUGCGGCGUUCCUCAUUUAUCCUACUGAAUCCUAAACAAAUAAGAGUUGAAUAGACUUCAUGAAUUAAUUGGCUCUACCAAAAGGUAAUGAUAUGAACAGCCAGCCUAGUUUCUGUAGCCUGUUAAGUGAGUGCCUCACGGCGAUAUCGGUCGAAUAUUACUAAAACAGAAGUAAAACCCUACUCACCAACUGGUUUCUGCACUUUAAUAUGUAGUUAGUUAACAUGUCAUCUUGUUCGUUCGUUCGUUCGGUUGUGUGUUUUGGUUUUUAACGUCGUUCUCUGCACAAUCCCAGCUUUAUGACUGGGGUAUGUAAAUAUUUGAGUAGAUCAGACAAUGCAGUGAUUCACACCAUAAGAUUGUUUUACGCAAUUGGGAUACGAUGAGGUGAAGUGAAACAUCCCAGGCGCCCAGGCCCAUCAACUCCCCUCCCCUCCCUAGGUCAUUCCCUUCGAAAUGUAAAUACAGGCUUACUGAGAACAAAAAAUGGAUUUUGUUUGAUUUGUUAAUAAUGUUUAAGGUCAUAAUGAUAACCCACAUUAGAGUUUCAGAUUUCCAGAUUUCAAUAAGAUCUUAGUGGUAACAUAACCUCUGGUCUAUUCUUAAAUUGUGAAACGUGCACCUCAUUAAAGGCACACUGAAACAAAAGACAGCUUCCCCAUCAUUCGCACAUGCACCCACCUUCCUUCUUUUUUAAGACGCCUAAUAUUUUUACCUGAAAUUUGUAAAUUCUAAAACUAAGCCUAGAUAAAAGUCUAUAUACGACAGUUAAAUUGUUUCCUCAUAACCGAGAAGGAUUACUCCCAAAGCCAUUGCUCCUGGGUUAAUCAUUGAUAUAAAGUUUGACAGACACAGAAAGAGGGUCUUGACUGUCACUUGCCUGGACCGACAAAACCGAUUUGUUUGCCUGCCACACCCGAAACUGACUGUACACAUAUACAUUAAUGGCCACAAUGUGUUGUUAUGUGCCAUUUCGUAGUUCAGGAGUCGGGAAAUAUAUUCAUAUUUCUAAAUUUACUACAUGUAUUCACAGCUAACAAUAUAUCAAACCCUUACUACGGUAUAGCACGUAUUUUGAUUUGUAUAUUAACAAUAUGUAUGCUUUACAUUAAACACUUGCAUUGAAAUCCUUUUUCCUUACUCGAUAGUUCAAGACAUCACUCUUUAAUGAACACUACAGGUUAAGUUCUAUUAGCUAUAUACAGUAUUUGAUAACGCCACUAUUGCUGUAUGAGCGGUUAACACUGUUUGUACAUCGUUGUGUGUUGUACUGUGCAAACCGUUCAACAUUCGCCCAGCUUUGACUAGAUCGGUGUGUGUGUUGUACAAUGCAAACUUGACGAGAUCACUGUGUGUGUUGUAGUGUGUAAACUUCAACAUUCGCCCAGCUUUGACGAGAUCACUGUGUGUUUUGUAGUGUGUAAACUUCAACAUUCGCCCAGCUUUGACGAGAUCACUGUGUGUGUUGUAGUGUGUAAACUUCAACAUUCGCCCAGCUUUGACGAGAUCAGUGUGUGUGUUGUAGUGUGUAAACUUCAACAUUCGCCCAGCUUUGACUAGAUCACUGUGUGUGUGUGUUGACCUAUGCAAACUUCAACAUUCGCCCAGCUUUGACGAGAUCACUUUGUGUGUUGUAGUGUGUAAACUUCAACAUUCGCCCAGCUUUGACUAGAUCACUGUGUGUGUUGUAGUGUGUAAACUGUUCAACAUUCGCCCAGCUUUGACUAGAUCACUGUGUGUGUCAAGUCAAGGACUUUUCAAUUCAAAUGUUCUCAGCUAAAGACGCUUGUUAUUUAGAUUGCUUCUCGUAGAUCUUCAAAGCAGCACAUGCAUUUCAUUUUCUCGUUUACCUACGAGAAUGAUGCAUAGCUUUCACUGAGUAGUUAGUGUGAUGGAAACAAACACUUUGUAUUCAACAGAAACACAUUUUGUGUUAAUAUCCAUACGACCACCGGUCUCCUGUCAUUAUUGCAAACUUCACCUAAGUAAUAAAUUACUUCAUCAUACCUUGAA
rnacentral:lncRNA from 1 species